UACGUAGGGUGCAAGCGUUAAUCGGAAUUACUGGGCGUAAAGCGUGCGCAGGCGGUUUUGUAAGUCUGUCGUGAAAUCCCCGGGCUCAACCUGGGAAUGGCGAUGGCGACUGCAAGGCUAGAGUUUGGCAGAGGGGGGUAGAAUUCCACGUGUAGCAGUGAAAUGCGUAGAUAUGUGGAGGAACACCGAUGGCGAAGGCAGCCCCCUGGGUCAAAACUGACGCUCAUGCACGAAAGCGUGGGGAGCAAACAGG
rnacentral:rRNA from 1 species